rnacentral:rRNA from 1 species
UACAGAGGUGGCAGGCGUUGUUCGGAAUUACUGGGCGUAAAGGGCGCGUAGGCGGCCUUCUAAGUCAGACGUGAAAUCCCCCGGCUUAACCUGGGAACUGCGUCUGAUACUGGGAGGCUUGAGUAUGGGAGAGGGAUGUAGAAUUCCAGGUGUAGCGGUGAAAUGCGUAGAUAUCUGGAGGAAUACCGGUGGCGAAGGCGGCAUCCUGGACCGAGAUUGACGCUGAGGAGCGAAAGCUAGGGGAGCAAACGGG